rnacentral:rRNA from 1 species
GACAGAGGGUGCAAACGUUGUUCGGAAUUACUGGGCGUAAAGCGCGUGUAGGCUGUCUCGCAAGUCGGGUGUGAAAGCCCUGGGCUCAACCUAGGAAGUGCACUCGAAACUGCGAGACUUGAGUCCUGGAGAGGAAGGCGGAAUUCUCGGUGUAGAGGUGAAAUUCGUAGAUAUCGAGAGGAACACCGGUGGCGAAGGCGGCCUUCUGGACAGUGACUGACGCUGAGACGCGAAAGCGUGGGGAGCAAACAGG